UACGGGGGGAGCAAGCGUUGUUCGGAUUUACUGGGCGUAAAGGGCGCGUAGGCGGCCACCGCAAGUCGGUUGUGAAAUCUCUGGGCUUAACCCAGAAAGGUCAAUCGAUACUGCGGGGCUAGAGUGCAGAAGGGGCAACUGGAAUUCUCGGUGUAGCGGUGAAAUGCGUAGAUAUCGAGAGGAACACCUGCGGCGAAGGCGGGUUGCUGGGCUGACACUGACGCUGAGGCGCGAAAGCUAGGGGAGCGAACGGG
rnacentral:rRNA from 1 species